CCCCGGCAUGCUCAGUACGGCGAGUGAGCGGCAAAAGCUCAAAUUUGAAAUCUAGCACCUUCGGUGUUCGAGUUGUAAUUUGAAGAUGGUAACCUUGGGUUUGGCUCUUGUCUAUGUUCCUUGGAACAGGACGUCAUAGAGGGUGAGAAUCCCGUCUGAUGAGAUGCCCAUUCCUAUGUAAGGUGCUAUCGAAGAGUCGAGUUGUUUGGGAAUGCAGCUCUAAGUGGGUGGUAAAUUCCAUCUAAAGCUAAAUAUUGGCGAGAGACCGAUAGCGAACAAGUACAGUGAUGGAAAGAUGAAAAGAACUUUGAAAAGAGAGUGAAAAAGUACGUGAAAUUGUUGAAAGGGAAGGGCAUUAGAUCAGACUUGGUGUUUUACGAUUAUCUUCUCUUCUUGAGUUGUGCACUCGUAUUUCACUGGGCCAGCAUCGAUUCGGAUGGCAAGAUAAUGGCAGUUGAAUGUGGCUUCACUUCGGUGGAGUGUUAUAGCUUCUGCUGAUAUUGCCUGUCUGGAUCGAGGGCUGCGUCUUUUGACUAGGAUGCUGGCGUAAUGAUCUAAUGCCGCCAGAAAAAGAAACACGGACACGGAG
rnacentral:rRNA from 1 species